rnacentral:rRNA from 1 species
CCUACGGGUGGCAGCAGUCGAGAAUCAUUCACAAUGGAGGCAACUCUGAUGGUGCAACGCCGCGUGGAGGAUGACGGUCCUAGGAUUGUAAACUCCUGUCAUUGGGGAGUAAGACUUAAGCGUUAAGAGCGUUUAAGUUUGAUAGUACCCGAAGAGGAAGGGACGGCUAACUUCGUGCCAGCAGCCGCGGUAAUACGAAGGUCCCAAGCGUUGUUCGGAAUCACUGGGCGUAAAGCGUGUGCAGGCUGCGCGGAAAGUCAAAUGUGAAAGCCCGGGGCUCNACCUCGGAACUGCAUUCGAUACUCCCGUGCUGGAGUAAUGGAGAGGUCAGUGGAAUUCUCGGUGUAGCAGUGAAAUGCGUGGAUAUCGAGAGGAACAUCAAUGGCGAAGGCAACUGACUGGGCAUUUACUGACGCUCAGACACGAAGGCCAGGGUAGCGAAAGGGAUUAGAUACCCCUGUAGUCCUGGCAGUAAACGGUGCUCGCUUGGUGUGGGAGGAUUCGACCCCUUCUGUGCCGGAGCUAACGCGUUAAGCGAGCCGCCUGGGAAGUACGGUCGCAAGACUAAAACUCAAAGAAAUUGACGGGGACCCGCACAAGCGGUGGAGUAUGUGGCUUAAUUCGAUGCAACGCGAAGAAC